rnacentral:rRNA from 1 species
GACAGCAGUCGCGCGGUAAUACGUAUGUCACAAGCGUUAUCCGGAUUUAUUGGGCGUAAAGCGCGUCUAGGCGGUUAAUUAAGUCUGAUGUGAAAAUGCGGAGCUCAACUCCGUAUUGCGUUGGAAACUGGUUAACUAGAGUACUGGAGAGGUAAGCGGAACUACAAGUGUAGAGGUGAAAUUCGUAGAUAUUUGUAGGAAUGCCGAUGGGGAAGCCAGCUUACUGGACAGACACCGACGCUAAAGCGCGAAAGCGUGGGUAGCAAACAGGAUUAGAUACCCCUGUAGUCCCUGUCUCUUAUACAC